GGUCCCUUCGUCUAGUGGUUAGGACAUCAGCUUCUCAAGCUGGUAAUAUGGGUUCAAAUCCCGUAGGGAUCACCA
rnacentral:tRNA from 1 species